rnacentral:rRNA from 1 species
GACGAACCGUGGCGAACGUUGUUCGGAAUCACUGGGCUUAAAGGGCGCGUAGGCGGCCGGGUUGGUCGUGGGUGAAAUCCCCCAGCUUAACUGGGGAACUGCCUACGAUACUGCCUGGCUCGAGGGAGGAAGGGGCGGUCGGAACUGUCGGUGGAGCGGUGAAAUGCGUAGAUAUCGCUUGGAACGCCAACGGUGAAAACAGGUUGCUGGGGGUGUGCUGACGCUGAGACACGAAAGCCAGGGGAGCGAACGGG